AGGAGCCGUGUGAUGUGAAAGUAUCAAGCACGGUUUUGUAUGGGAGUUUGGGAAGGUGACUUCCCUCUCGACCCCUAC
rfam:Arthrospira platensis NIES-39 DNA, nearly complete genome.